rnacentral:rRNA from 1 species
AUUGAACGCUGGCGGCAUGCUUUACACAUGCAAGUCGAACGGCAGCGGGGAGGAGCUUGAUUCUCUGCCGGCGAGUGGCGAACGGGUGAGUAAUACAUCGGAACGUGUCGAGAAGAGGGGGAUAACCACCCGAAAGGGUGGCUAAUACCGCAUAAAUUCUGAGGAAGAAAGCUGGGGACCUAGGAAUAGGCCUAGCGCUUUUUGAGCGGCCGAUGUCGGAUUAGCUAGUUGGUGAGGUAAAGGCUCACCAAGGCGAAGAUCUGUAGCGGGUCUGAGAGGAUGAUCCGCCACACUGGGACUGAGACACGGCCCAGACUCCUACGGGAGGCAGCAGUGGGGAAUUUUGGACAAUGGGGGCAACCCUGAUCCAGCCAUGCCGCGUGUAUGAAGAAGGCCUUAGGGUUGUAAAGUACUUUUGUUAGGGAAGAAAAGUCAGCUGUGAAUAAUGGCUGAUACUGACGGUACCUAAAGAAUAAGCACCGGCUAACUACGUG